rnacentral:rRNA from 1 species
AGAGUUUGAUCAUGGCUCAGAACGAACGCUGGCGGCGUGGAUAAGACAUGCAAGUCGAACGGGACUAUUUCUAGUAGCAAUACCGGGAAUAGUUUAGUGGCGAACGGGUGCUUAACACGUGGGCAACCUGCCAUGAAGUGGGGGAUAGCUCGCCGAAAGGCGAAUUAAUACCGCAUGUGAUUAGAGAGGACAUCCUUUCGAAAUUAAAGCUGGGGCAACCUAGCGCUUCUUGUGGGGCCCGCGGCCUAUCAGCUAGUUGGUGAGGUUACGGCUCACCAAGGCUUUGACGGGUAGCUGGUCUGAGAGGACGACCAGCCACACUGGGACUGAGACACGGCCCAGACACCUACGGGUGGCAGCAGUCGAGAAUUUUUGACAAUGGGGGAAACCCUGAUCGAGCGACGCCGCGUGGAGGAUGAAGGUCUUCGGAUUGUAAACUCCUGUCAUUGGGGAACAAUGCACAGAUAUUAACUGUAUUUGUGUUGAUAGUACCCGAAGAGGAAGGGACGGCUAACUCUGUGCCAGCAGCCGCGGUAAUACAGAGGUCCCAAGCGUUGUUCGGAUUCAUUGGGCGUAAAGGGUGCGUAGGCGGCGCGGUAAGUCGGGUGUGAAAUCUCGGGGCUUAACUCCGAAACUGCAUUCGAUACUGCCGUGCUUGAGGACUGGAGAGGAGACUGGAAUUUACGGUGUAGCGGUGAAAUGCGUAGAUAUCGUAAGGAAGACCAGUGGCGAAGGCGGGUCUCUGGACAGUUCCUGACGCUGAGGCACGAAGGUCAGGGGAGCAAACGGGAUUAGAUACCCCCGUAGUCC